rnacentral:rRNA from 1 species
CGUACGAGAGUUUUUAACUCAAGUGGCGGACGGGUGAGUAACACGUAAGAAUUUACCUUUAGGAGGGGGAUAACAACUGGAAACGGUUGCUAAUACCCCAUAUGCUUUCGAGUGAAAUGGGUUUCCGCCUAAAGAGAAGCUUGCGGCUGAUUAGCUUGUUGGUGAGGUAAUGGCUUACCAAGGCGACGAUCAGUAUCUGGUUUGAGAGGAUGAUCAGACACACUGGAACUGAGACACGGUCCAG